GACGAACGCUGGCGGCGCGCCUAACACAUGCAAGUCGAACGGGAACUGUCCGGAGCUUGCUUCGGAGGGUUUCAGUGGCGGACGGGUGAGUAACGCGUGAGGAACCUGCCUUUCAGAGGGGGAUAACGUCCGGAAACGGACGCUAAUACCGCAUGACAUCCCGGGAUCACAUGGUUCUGGGAUCAAAGGAGCAAUCCGCUGGAAGAUGGACUCGCGUCCGAUUAGCCGGUUGGUGAGGUAACGGCCCACCAAAGCUGCGAUCGGUAGCCGGACUGAGAGGUUGAACGGCCACAUUGGGACUGAGACACGGCCCAGACUCCUACGGGAGGCAGCAGUGGGGGAUCUUGCACAAUGGAGGGAACUCUGAUGCAGCGACGCCGCGUGAGGGAAGACGGUUUUCGGAUUGUAAACCUCUGUCCCCGGUGACGAUAAUGACGGUAGCCGAGGAGGAAGCUCCGGCUA
rnacentral:rRNA from 1 species